GAUGAACGCUGGCGGCGUGCCUAAUACAUGCAAGUCGAGCGAAUGGAUUAAGAGCUUGCUCUUAUGAAGUUAGCGGCGGACGGGUGAGUAACACGUGGGUAACCUGCCCAUAAGACUGGGAUAACUCCGGGAAACCGGGGCUAAUACCGGAUAACAUUUUGAACCGCAUGGUUCGAAAUUGAAAGGCGGCUUCGGCUGUCACUUAUGGAUGGACCCGCGUCGCAUUAGCUAGUUGGUGAGGUAACGGCUCACCAAGGCAACGAUGCGGAGCCGACCUGAGAGGGUGAUCGGCCACACUGGGACUGAGAAACGGCCCAGACUCCUACGGGAGGCAGCAGUAGGGAAUCUUCCGCAAUGGACGAAAGUCUGACGGAGCAACGCCGCGUGAGUGAUGAAGGCUUUCGGGUCGUAAGACUCUGUUGUUAGGGAAGAACAAGUGCUAGUUGGAUAAGCUGGCACCUUGACGGUACCUAACCAGAAAGCCACGGCUAACUACGUGCCAGCAGCCGCAGUAA
rnacentral:rRNA from 1 species